AUCAAUAAGCGGAGGAAAAGAAACUAACCAGGAUUCCCCCAGUAACGGCGAGCGAAGCGGGAACAGCUCGAGCAGGCAAUCUCUGGCGUCGAUCGCCAGCGAAUUGUGGCCGGUAGAGGCGGGUGCACCCGACGCGACUUCGUCGAAGUUGACCUGGAAAGGCACGUCGGAGAGGGUGAUAGCCCCGUGCGUGGCGAAGUCGCCGAGGGCCGCUACCGUCUUCGGAGAGUCGGGUUGUUUGGGAGUGCAGCCCAAAGUGGGUGGUAAACUCCAUCUAAAGCCAAAUAACGGCACGAGACCGAUAGCGAACAAGUACCAUGAGGGAAAGGUGAAAAGCACUUUGGAAAGAGAGUUAAAGAGGCCGCGAAACCGUUGGGAGGGAAACGCAUGCAGCCGAACUGGUCCGCGCCGAGUUCAGGGGGCCGCGAGAAGUCGCGCGUGCAGUCGUCACCUCACGGGUCGGCUGUGCGCGGUGGAGUCUCGUGCCCCUGCACUCUCGGCGACAUGGACCGGCCAAGUGCGGUGGGCUUCCGGGCGACGAGCACGCGUCGGGCAGGUAGCGCUGCCGUCCCGCGGCGGCGAACUUACAGCCGAUCGUGCGGAGCGCUCGGCACCCACCGAGGAGAGCGGUGGCAUUUCCACCCCCGUAGUGCAGGCCGUUCGCGGCCGGGGCGCUCUYGCCAGCUCGACGGUCGCGCCGUGUCACUGCGUGCAGUGCCCGGUGUAGGCUGUCGUUCGGGCGGGAGGUCGUCCACGCCUUGCGCUGUGGUCGCUUGGCUAGCCGUCGGCUGCAUUCGA
rnacentral:rRNA from 1 species